CAAACGUAACAGCAAAUAGGUGCCUCGUCUUUUCUCAAAAAGAUCGGGUGAAAAGGGAAGUCGGUGAAAAUCCGACGCGGUCCCGCCACUGUAAAUCGGCUCGUUCCUCAGCCGUAAGCCAGGAGACCUGCCUGUUUGUUUUUGUGCCU
rnacentral:ncRNA from 2 species